CAGCACCAAGGUUUCCUUUCCAAACCACUCCUGCAAAGGCCAGUAGGCUGGGGAUAGGCAAGAGAUGGAUAUUUGAACAGCAGUGUGUACCACAAAACAAGGAGUAACAUGAUAGCAAGAUGAGCAAGUUUGGAAGUCUGUAAGUUAAAAAGCUAAAGCAAGCAGCAGUGUGGUGCUUAGUUGCCAGCUGGGGUUAAACCCCAAAAAUGGUAUAAUCUAAAAUGAAGAUGAGGAAGAAGAACUGUAUCACCUCUUCAACACCAGUGAAAUGAGGAACCAUUGAAGAGAAUAUCUGAUUGUGCAAUUCUACACUGUAAUAAUGGCAAUACUCAAGGAUAUUAAACCUUACCUGAACCUAACCUAAAACUUCAAUGUGGUUUUGAGUA